rnacentral:misc_RNA from 1 species
GAAGUAAAAGUCGUAACAAGGUCUCCGUUGGUGAACCAGCGGAGGGAUCAUUGCUGGAACUGUGUCCGCAAGGACACAACCCCAGAUACCCUUUGUGAACUUAUACCUAUAUAUCGUUGCCUCGGCGCUGAGCUGGAAGCACUUCGGUGCUUUCCCACUGAGCAAUCAGUGGAGCAGGCCCGCCGGUGGCCCAUUAAACUCUUGUUUAUUUUUGUCUUCUCUGAGUUAUUCAAAACAAAUGAAUCAAAACUUUCAACAACGGAUCUCUUGGUUCUGGCAUCGAUGAAGAACGCAGCGAAAUGCGAUACGUAAUGUGAAUUGCAGAAUUCAGUGAAUCAUCGAAUCUUUGAACGCACAUUGCGCCCGCUGGAAUUCCAGCGGGCAUGCCUGUUCGAGCGUCAUUUCACCCCUCAAGCUUUGCUUGGUGUUGGGGCACUACCAGUAAAACGGUAGGCCCUGAAAUUCAGUGGCGGGCUCGCUAAGACUCUGAGCGUAGUAGUUUACCACCUCGCUUUGGAAGGAUUAGCGGUGCUCUUGCCGUAAAACCCCCAACUUUUGAAAAUUUGACCUCGGAUCAGGUAGGAAUACCCGCUGAACUUAAGCAUAUCAAUAA